CACAUCUAAAAGCUGUAAGCAAGACCACCUCCGCUGGUCUCAGGUGUUACAGCUGAACAUAGGGACAGCAGCAAUCUCAGGCAGUUCACGCUUUCUCUUUUUGAAUGCACGAUUUCCAAGGAGAAUCCAAGGAGAAAUUCUGUUUUCAUAACUGAUGCCUCCCUCCCAACUUGAAGGUAACAUUGCUAGUACUUGUUCAUGAAAAAUGGAUAAAUACAUUACGAUUACAACUCUAAAAACAAAUUAGCAGACAAUUGAUGACUCAGGUUAGUAUAUGUAAUUUGCAUAGUAGAAAGAUUAAAAAGCACAGAUACAAUGUUGUAAUGAUUUAGGGCUCUUAGACUUUGUGUUUGUCAUAGCUUUAGGGCCACCCCGUCCUGUUUCAAUGAUCAUCACCAUUAACAUUGUUAAUUUUCAGCUGUUCCCAAAUGAAUAUUGAAACA